GAGUUUGAUCCUGGCUCAGAUUGAACGCUGGCGGCAUGCCUUACACAUGCAAGUCGAACGGCAGCACGGGAGCUUGCUCCUGGUGGCGAGUGGCGAACGGGUGAGUAAUGCAUCGGAACGUAUCCUGGAGUGGGGGAUAACGUAGCGAAAGUUACGCUAAUACCGCAUAUUCUGUGAGCAGGAAAGCGGGGGACCUUCGGGCCUCGCGCUCUUGGAGCGGCCGAUGUCGGAUUAGCUAGUUGGUGAGGUAAAGGCUCACCAAGGCGACGAUCCGUAGCAGGUCUGAGAGGAUGAUCUGCCACACUGGAACUGAGACACGGUCCAGACUCCUACGGGAGGCAGCAGUGGGAAUUUUGGACAAUGGGGGCAACCCUGAUCCUGCCAUGCCGCGUGAGUGAAGAAGGCCUGG
rnacentral:rRNA from 1 species